GGUACGGGAGCGAGAGUCGCAGCCGGUAGUCGGGCUUCCUUGAGUCAAGGCAUAGCAGCUUCCCCGUCACCUCCAGCGCCGCCUGCUCGGCCGAUCGCAGCAACGGCAGCUCGAUGAUGAGAAGAUGAGACCUGAAAAGUUACCUCACCAAAGUCACACAGUCGAUGCACCACCCAGCAGUCACAAACUGACUCUACAGAUCUCCCGACACCAACAAUUCUUUCCUGCCAAUUUAAGGCAGAUUACCUGGGAUUU